ACCUGGCUGGCUCAGUUGAUAGAGCAUGUAACUCUUGAUCUCAGGGUUACGAGUUCAAGCCUAGUGUUGGGUG
rnacentral:tRNA from 1 species